rnacentral:rRNA from 1 species
ACGCUCGACACCUACGUGAGGCAGCAGUGGGGAAUAUUGCACAAUGGGGGAAACCCUGAUGCAGCGACGCCGCGUGAGCGAAGAAGUAUCUCGGUAUGUAAAGCUCUAUCAGCAGGGAAGAAAAUGACGGUACCUGACUAAGAAGCACCGGCUAAAUACGUGCCAGCAGCCGCGGUAAUCUGAGCGGGCUGGCAAGGC